rnacentral:tRNA from 1 species
CAAAUUAAAGCUAAAAUAGCAUUAUUAUUUACAUUAAUAAUAUGUCUGUGAGAUUCAGACUAAUUUGA